UCGCGCGAUCUCGCAAGAGAUAGCGGCAAACGGGUUAGUAACACGUAGGUAAUCUUCCCCAAAGACGGGUAUAGCAUCGUGAAAACGGUGGUAAUCCCCGAUAUGGUGCUGACUACAAAUGUAGAUGGUAUUAAAGGCAGGGACCUUCGGGCCUGCCACUUUGGGAUGAGCCUGCGUCCUAUCAGCUAGUUGGUGAGGUAACGGCCCACCAAGGCUUUUGACGGGUAGCUGGUCUGAGAGGACGAUCAGCAACACUGGGACUGAGACACUGCCCAGACUCCUACGGGAGGCUGCAGUCGAGAAUCUUUAGCAAUGGACGAAAGUCUGACUAUGCGACGCCGCGUGCAGGAUGAAGGUCUUCGGAUUGUAAACUGCUUUUAUCAGGGGAGAAUUCUCUUAAGAUAAUAUCUUAAGAGUUGACGGUACCUGAAGAAUAAGCCACGGCCAACUCCGUGCCAGCAGCCGCGGUAAUACGGAGGUGGCGAGCGUUACUCGGAAUCAUUGGGUGUAAAGGGCAAGUAGGCGGCCAGAUAAGUGAGGGGUGAAACCUUCCGACUCAAUCGGGAAACUGCCUUUCAAACUAUCUGGCUUGAGAUUGGAAGAGGGAAUCGGAAUUAGCGGUGUAAGGGUGAAAUCUGUAGAUAUCGCUAAGAACACCGGCGGCGAAGGCGGGUUCCUGGUCCAACUCUGACGCUGAACU
rnacentral:rRNA from 1 species